CCUAUGCACUCGUAUUUUUGGUCUUUGUGCGUUUGAGAUACUUUCGUGUUCUUUUUUGUGUUUUCUUUUGUAUUGGGGGCGAUCGGCUGACGUGCGCGAGUUUAAUCGGGCGUGCGUCCUUUGCGUGUGAAGCACUGAGUGCAUUUGGGGCCGUGUGAUCACGGUCAUUUUUUGUCCCCACUUGGCGGGACGCUUCCUGUGACCAGGAAAUGCACUGGGUGCAAUUUUAAGCUCGUGUGAUCACGACUAUUUUGUUCUCAAUUGGGGAACGCCUUCUGUGAUCAGGAUUUAUUUGUGCGAGGACCGCGACGAUUGGCUGCGACGUCGGCGAGUCAUAAGCUUGAAUGAUCAUUCAAAUAGUAUUUUAAUCUCUAGGUUAUAGUUUUACUUUCUUAUAUAUAUAUUAUCGUUUUGUUAUUGUAUUAUUCUUUUAUUUGUUGUAGUUUAUUUUGCUUAUGGAACCAGGCUUUUUCCCCACUUGAGUCUGGGGUUUUUUACAGCCGGUAUCCUUUAAAGUCAUUUUUUCUAUAUAAUAAAAUCAUUUGUUUUUCUUUCUUAUUCGUUAAAAUCUAA